GCUGGGCGUGGUGGCGUGCGCCUGUAGUCCCAGCUACUCAGGAGGCUGAGACAGGAGAAUCACUUGAACCCAGGAGGAGGAGGUUGCAGUGAGCCACUGCAUUCCAGCCUGGGCAACAGAGCGAGACUCUGUCUCAA
rnacentral:SRP_RNA from 1 species